UGGGGCCGAGGUUCUUCAUUUCCUGGGGACUCCCUGGGUGGGGAGGACAGGGUGAGGCUGGAGGCUUCUGGGCUGCAGGGAGAGAUGCUGAAGGGGGAGUGGGGCCCAGGAGGACAGCCAGACCACCCCAACCUCCCCGACACCUCCGUGUGAAUUGGGAAAGGGGGCCCUAAGAUUCCUUCAGCCAGGCAGGCACUUUUGUGCAGUGCACAACCUGCACAACCCAGGGUGGCGGCCUUGUUGUCAGCCCUCGGGGAGGCGGAUCGAGGCCAGGAGAGCCCCUGCUGCCUCCCCUUUUGCUGCUGGGUUCAUAGUGACCCUGCUCUGCCCAGGCCGGACCCAGGAUGUGAGUCUCCAGGCUCUGAAGGCCUUCCAGGACUUCUACCUGAUGCUGGGGCUUCCGGAUGACAUGGUGCUCAUGCUGCCCAAGUCAGACACGUGCAUCCCUGAGAGCAAGGAGAAGCCCUGAUGCCUCUGGACCCCACCCAGCCCUUCCCAGGGUCCUCAUCCAGGCGACUCACCAUCCUGUUCAGCUUUGCACAGGAGGAGCCAGAGCCGCGGGCGCCAUCGCCCCUGGAGUGAGACCCACAGCCCUCGGGGACCGCUGUCCUCCGCCCCCCAUGGGAUGCCUCUUUCUAUUCAAUAAACAGAUGCUGCAGCCUCACGGCCUCACCUCUUUGGAGAUGCUCUGGGGGAGGGCACAGCAGGCCCC
rnacentral:lncRNA from 13 species